AGUCGUAACAAGGUAUCCGUAGGUGAACCUGCGGAUGGAUCAUUAAAGUUAGAUUACAUGAAAGUUGUGUGCAUUGUUUACGUUUGGUUUACGUUUUGGUUUACGUUUUGGUUUGCGUUUGGUUGCGUUUGGUUUGCGUUUGGUUUGCGUUUGGUGAGCUUGCCUUGAGUGAGCUUGCCUUGUGUGACCUCGUGUGACCUCGUGUGACCUCGUGUGACCUCGUGUGACCUUGAGUAACCUUGAGUGACCUUGAUGACCUCGCAUUAGGUUAUGUGAUGACCUCGCUUAGGUUAUCUGACUAACCUGUGCGGUAGUCUAUAACUACACGUAUAUCACCUAUAAAAACUGACGUCUACUUUAGUAGUAAAUCAAACUAAAGACAACUUUUAGCAACGGAUCUCUUGGCUCUC
rnacentral:misc_RNA from 1 species